AAGCAACCACCACUGUGGCAGAUGAUCAAAACUGUCCGACACAAUUUGUGCUGCUCUAACAAGAAGGUUUAGCCUAUGCUGUUCUUUUCUCCUUGAUCAAGCCUUUCUACAGACUUAACAGC
rnacentral:snoRNA from 1 species